rnacentral:rRNA from 1 species
GACGAACGCUGGCGGCGUGCUUAACACAUGCAAGUCGAACGGAAAGGCCCUGCUUUUGUGGGGUGCUCGAGUGGCGAACGGGUGAGUAACACGUGAGUAACCUGCCCUUGACUUUGGGAUAACUUCAGGGAACUGGGGCUAAUACCGGAUAGGAGCUCCUGGUGCAUGGUGGGGGUUGGAAAGUUUCGGCGGUUGGGGAUGGACUCGCGGCUUAUCAGCUUGUUGGUGGGGUAGUGGCUUACCAAGGCUUUGACGGGUAGCCGGCCUGAGAGGGUGACCGGCCACAUUGGGACUGAGAUACGGCCCAGACUCCUACGGGAGGCAGCAGUGGGGAAUAUUGCACAAUGGGCGGAAGCCUGAUGCAGCAACGCCGCGUGCGGGAUGACGGCCUUCGGGUUGUAAACCGCUUUCGCCUGUGACGAAGCGUGAGUGACGGUAAUGGGUAAAGAAGCACCGGCUAACUACGUG